UGGAAGCAAUUAGAAAUGAUCAAGGCACUUGUUUUCUUUCGAGCACAACUACAUCCAAAAACAACUUACCUGUGAGCAGAGAGAGUAUUUGUUAACCCCUUUGAGCCUAAACAGUUGAAUCUCGGCUUGAAAUAAAGCGAGAUCUCAAAAAUUUUUUUUUUACAACCCGGAAAAUCUUGAUUAUUGUUCUUUUGCCGUAAAAAGUUAAGAGCAUUCACUUAGGGUGUGGAAGAAAUAAGUUGGGGAGAACGAAAAAGAAUUGGUAAGUACCACAACUCUUGAAAAAGAAAAGAAAAACCGAGCAAGCAUAGAAAAAUAUAUGUAUAGAAAAUGUAGAAAAUAAACAUCUGUUUUGUAUAUUUGAUGUGAAAGAAAAGAACAAAAAUAGAAAGAAUGAAAAAAAAAAUGCUUGCUUGGAAGAAAAAUAGUGAAAAAUAAAAGUGGAGUUGUGGAAUAUGUGUUGUGAAGGUUACAAAUAAGAAACAAAGGAAACAAAGUCGAGUAGUGUGAAUAAUACUGUGAAUGUCUCUUUUGCAUCGGCACUUUCGUUUCAAUGGCCUUAGAAAUGACCCUUGUUUGUUAACCUAACCAAGCUUCAACCGAAAAGCCCUUAGUGAUCUUU
rnacentral:lncRNA from 1 species